AAUGGACCUGUGUAAGGAGGUGUGUGUGGGAGAAGAUUCCAGAAGGUCUUGAGACACUCCGUUGUGCUGCUGGAGCACCAGAGAGUGAAAGAGG
rnacentral:lncRNA from 1 species